CCACCACACGCAGCCACCGCUGGUGCGCCGAUUUGCGGCGAUCCUGCCGUGGUGUUCUAGGCCUCCACUCACCUACUCUGUGGUUUGCACAUUUGACUCUUGCAGUUGAGAUAUGCCCAUGGGUCGUUUCCCAAGCCUCCUGAAAGCUGCUUCGCGCUUUCCCAGGAAAGGCCACCAGAAUAGGCAUGCCUACUGCCUCUGAUUUCCGGACGGCUUAUCCAGCCCAGUCGAGAAGCUUCAAGCGCCCUUGACCCUUUCUACGGCGACGUGGCUGAGGUUCUGGGCAACGUCAAGACGAUCCGUGCCGCCAUGGACGAGCUGCAGCAGAAGCACACGGAGAACAUGCAGACGGUCGACGAGGCGCGCUCCAAGGCGGCGAAGGAGAAGCUCGACGCGAUGUCCAAGAGCACGGCCAAGCUGAAGAGCGUGCCGGACAGCGUGCACGCCAACAGCGCCAUCAUCCGCAUCGAGGAGAACCAGUACACGCACCUCGUGCUGAAGCUGGCGAUGGCCAUGGCCGAGUACCAGCGUCAGCAGUCCGCCAACGAGGCCUACUACAAGGCGCAGACGCAGCGGCAGAUCAAGAUCAAGUACACCAACCCCGACGGCAGCGCCAUCGACGACUCGACAGCGGCGCAGCUGGCAGAGCAGGUGAUGGAGAACGACACGUCUAGCUACAUCUUCCAGCAGAGCAAGGAGGUACUCGCCUCCAUCAUCGAGACGCGCAACGACAUCUACCGCAUCGAGCAGUCCAUGCGUGACCUGAACCAGCUCUUCAACGACCUAGCCUUCUUGGUGAACGAGCAGGGUGAGCUCAUGGACGUGAUUCUCGCCAAUGUGCAACAGAGCACCCGGUAUGUGGAGAAGGGUCGUGCGGCGCUGAAGAAGGCGCGUCGGUAUCAAAAGAAGAGCCGCAAGAAGCUGCGAUGCUCGGUGCUUCGCAAUGAGUAUGUCGGAAAGACGGCGGUGGAUUACUCUCCUUGGAAGGAAGCCCCUGUCCAGGUGUGCCGGCCCUGUUGUCCGGAAGGAGAAAAGUGGGCGGCCUAAGAAGACUGAAUUUUUACCACACCAUCGUGGGCAUCUUCUUCGGACCGGGGCUCACACAUGGUUGUCUUCGUUUUGAGUUUUCAUCCUUGUUUUUUUUUUGCGGGGGUGGACUUUUUGUUGUCGCUGCUUCGCCUCUGUUGUGCUCAUUAACAUCUCCGAAGCUGCUGCUCGUUGCCUCCGUCAUGGGAUGUGGUUGGGUUUGUUUUUUGCGCCUGUGUGUACGCGCGCGUUUCUUGUGUUACUGUUGUGAUGUUACUUGUGACUAAUAUGCUCCCUUACAGAGUGGUGGUGGGGUGGGGGAAUGUGCCCGGGCCCCGAGUAUCCGAUGGUGCUUUUCUCGCAGUCCUCACCGCCGAAGAAGCUGCUUUUCGUUGCUAUCGGCCUUGCCAACUAACGAGCCUAUUGGUCUAUGGAUGUGGAGUUGGCUCCACUGUACCGCAGCGGUGCCGCACACUCUUCCUCCUCAC
rnacentral:misc_RNA from 1 species